rnacentral:rRNA from 1 species
UACAGAGGGGGCAAGCGUUAUUCGGAAUUACUGGGCGUAAAGGGCGCGUAGGCGGGAUGGCAAGUCGGUCGUGAAAUCCCUCGGCUCAACUGAGGAUCGUCGAUCGAUACUGCCGUUCUUGAGGAUUGCAGAGGAGACUGGAAUUCCCGGUGUAGCGGUGAAAUGUGUAGAGAUCGGGAGGAACACCGGUGGCGAAGGCGGGUCUCUGGGCAAUUCCUGACGCUGAGGCGCGAAAGCGUGGGGAGCAAACGGG